GAGGUAAACGGCUCACCAUGGCGACGAUGCGUAGCCGACCUGAGAGGGUGAUCGGCCCACACUGGGACUGAGACACGGCCCAGACUCCUACGGGAGGCAGCAGUAGGGAAUCUUCCGCAAUGGACGAAAGUCUGACGGAGCAACGCCGCGUGAGUGAUGAAGGUUUUCGGAUCGUAAAACUCUGUUGUUAGGGAAGAACAAGUACCGUUUGAAUAGGGCGGUACCUUGACGGUACCUAACCUGAAAGCCACGGCUAACUACGUGCCAGCAGCCGCGGUAAUACGUAGGUGGCAAGCGUUGUCCGGAAUUAUUGGGCGUAAAGCGCGCGCAGGCGGUUUCUUAAGUCUGAUGUGAAAGCCCCCGGCUCAACCGGGGAGGGUCAUUGGAAACUGGGGAACUUGAGUUCACAAGAGGAGAGUGGAAUUCCCCGUGUAGCGUUGAAAUGACUGAUAUGUGAGGAACACCAGUGGCUAAGGCGACUUACUUGUCUGAAAUGACGCUUGUUGUUUUAGUGUUGCGAGCGAACCGGAUAAAAUUCCCUCGUAGUUCACUCCGAAAUCUUUCAAGGCAUCCAUUCAACCCGUUCGGU
rnacentral:rRNA from 1 species